rnacentral:tRNA from 1 species
AGAGGUGUAGUUCAGUGGCACAGCACCUGCCUUACAAGCAUAAGACCCUGAGUUCAAUUUCCAGUAUCCCUG